CAGUAGCCGCGGUAAUACAGAGGCCUCAAGCGUUGUUCGGAUUCAUUGGGCGUAAAGGGUGCGUAGGUGACUUGGUAAGUUGAAGGUGAAAUCUCGGGGCUUAACCCCGAAACUGCCUUCAAUACUGCUAGGCUCGAGGACUGUAGAGGAGAAUGGAAUUCACGGUGUAGCAGUGAAAUGCGUAGAUAUCGUGAGGAAGACCAGUGGCGAAGGCGAUUCUCUGGGCAGUUCCUGACACUGAGGCACGAAGGCCAGGGGAGCAAACGGGAUUAGAUACCCCUGUAGUCCCUGUCUCUUAUAC
rnacentral:rRNA from 1 species